UGCCGGGUCUUCUAAUCGGUAGGAAAAUGGACUCUGAAUCCAUGAAUCUAGGUUCGAUCCCUAGCCCGGCAG
rnacentral:tRNA from 1 species